rnacentral:rRNA from 1 species
UAGGGAAUCUUCCACAAUGGGAGAAAUCCUGAAGCAGCAACGCCGCGUGGAGGAUGAAGGGUCUAUGACUUGUAAACUCCUGUAAAGAAGGAAAAAAUUCCCAUUUGAUGGGAGAUGAUGGUACUUCUGGAGUAAGCCCCGGCUAACUACGUGCCAGCAGCCGCGGUAAUACGUAGGGGGCAAGCGUUGUCUGGAUUUACUGGGUGUAAAGGGUGCUCAGGCGGAUUUGUAAGUCAGAGGUGAAAUCUUACAGCUUAACUGUGAAACUGCCCUUGAUACUGCAAGCCUAGAGUAUGGAAGAGAGUGAUGGAAUAUCUGGUGUAGCAGUGAAAUGCGUAGAUAUCAGAUAGAACACCAAUGGCGAAGGCAGUCACUUGGUCCAUUACUGACGCUAAAGCACGAAAGCGUGGGUAGCAAACA